CCUACGGGAUGCAGCAGUGGGGAAUAUUGCACAAUGGGGGAAACCCUGAUGCAGCGACGCCGCGUGAGUGAAGCAGUAAUUCGUUACGUAAAGCUCUAUCAGCAGGGAAGAAAAUGACGGUAACUGAGUAAGAAGCCCCGGCUAACUACGUGCCAGCAGCCGCGGUAAUACGUAGGGGGCAAGCUUUAUCCGGAUUUACUGGGUGUAAAGGGAGCGUAGACGGUGAUGCAAGUCAGAAGUGAAAGCCCGGGGCUCAACUCCGGGACUGCUUUGGAAACGGUGUAACUGGAGUGCAGGAGAGGUAUGCGGAAUUCCUGGUGUAGCGGUGAAAUGCGGAGAUAUCAGGAGGAACCCCAGUGGCGAAGGCGGCUUACUGGACUGUAACUGACGUUGAGGCUCGAAAGCGUGGGGAGCAAACAGGAUUAGAUACCCGAGUAGUC
rnacentral:rRNA from 1 species